CUUAAGCACUUCGUGUUCCCAGCGGACCUUGAUUUAAUUACGAUACAAUUAAGGCACCGGGA
rnacentral:pre_miRNA from 1 species